rnacentral:misc_RNA from 1 species
UAUUCGAGUUGUUUGUUCUGUGGGUGAUCGCAAGGCAUUGACUCAUCCAGGUAAUUGAUAGAAGCUGCUACAUGUGUGCUUGCAUACUUGUUCCCAGUUAUUGCUUUAUGCUAUUUCUUUUUCCCAGGAAGUUGGAGAAUGCACAUGUAGCUUCUCAAGAAUGAUACUUCUGCCCAUGAUUCUUUAUUCUAAGUUGUAAUUUAACAACUAGUACAAAGUGCAAGAAUUGAAAAAUUAGGAAGUGAAGUACAGAGGAUCUUUUAUGUAUUAAGUUAUGAAAAUCAAUUUUAAUGAUUGAAUUGCGAGUAAAAGUCCAAACCAAAAUUGGGGCUCACCUACUCUUCUAUGAUUUCCUAUGUUUGUUUAUAUCCGCUGAUGAGAGUGCAUUGAUUAAUGUCUCUUGGAGAAAUUUUGUGUUUAGAAAAGUUAAAUGAUAUCAUAGCUAAGAAAGUAAGAAUUUAAUUUACAUUUGGAGAAAUGAAGAAUAUUUAGCUAAUAAUUUUCUUUUAUAGGUUUCUUAAUUAAUCUUUGAUACAAAUUUUCUUGUAUGCUUGUUAUUUCUUGAAAAGUCAAAUUAGAUGUUCAAUUCUCUGUUUUUUUUUUAGUGAAGCUGUAUUUAAUGUGCCUGCAGAGGUAACAGACCGGCAGCUGAAGAACAACGACGAUUUUGUUUGGCAAAUUGAA